UCCAUGAGGUAUUCCCUAUGAAAAUAUGAGUUUCAGAGUUUGGCUUUUGGUGUUCUAUGGUUGAAGAUGAUACAAUGUCCGUUAUCACGAACAUUUUUCAAAUUCAAACAUUUGUUGUGUCUUGUCCUGAUUGGUUCAUUUUAGCGCGCGUGUUAUUUUAAUGUUUGACUUUGUUAUUUUAUUUAAUGAGCAUGUAUUCUGAUCACAAGUGGGUGGUUCGCC
rnacentral:lncRNA from 1 species